GACGAACGCUGGCGGCGUGCCUAAUACAUGCAAGUUGAGCGAUGAAGAUUGGUGCUUGCACCAAUUUGAAGAGCAGCGAACGGGUGAGUAACGCGUGGGGAAUCUGCCUUUGAGCGGGGGACAACAUCUGGAAACGAAUGCUACUACCGCAUAACAACUUUAAACAUAAGUUUUAAGUUUGAAAGAUACAAUUGCAUCACUCAAAGAUGAUCCCGCGUUGUAUUAGCUAGCUGGUGAGGUAAAGGCUCACCAAGGCGAUGAUACAUAGCCGACCUGAGAGGGAUGACGGCCCACACUGGACCUGGAAACCGGCCAAACCCCUACGGGAGGCAGCAGUAGGGAAUCUUCGGCAAUGGACGGAAGUCUGGCCGAGCAACGCCGGGUGAGGGAAGAAGGUUUUCGGAUCGUAAAACUCUGUUGGUAGAGAAGAACGUUGGGGAGAGUGGAAAGCUCAUCAAGUGACGGUAACUACCCAGAAAGGGACGGCUAACUACGUG
rnacentral:rRNA from 1 species